UGUCUCAAAGAUUAAGCCAUGCAUGUCUAAGUAUAAGCAAUUAUACCGUGAAACUGCGAAUGGCUCAUUAAAUCAGUUAUCGUUUAUUUGAUAGUACCUUACUACUUGGAUAACCGUGGUAAUUCUAGAGCUAAUACAUGCUGAAAACCCCGACUUCGGGAGGGGUGUAUUUAUUAGAUAAAAAACCAAUGCCCUUCGGGGCUCUUUGGUGAUUCAUGAUAACUUUUCAGAUCGCAUGGCCUUGCGCCGGCGACGGUUCAUUCAAAUUUCUGCCCUAUCAACUUGAUGGUAAGAGUAUUGGCUUACCAUGGUUU
rnacentral:rRNA from 1 species